rnacentral:rRNA from 1 species
GAUUUCUGGUCCACGCCUCUCUGGCCGGCCACGGUUUCGUGUGUCAGUGUCUUGGGGGCGGGCCAUCCUUGUGUCUGAUUCAUUGCCUCAUCUCUUCUUCAUUGAGGGGACGGGGUACAGACACAGCGUUUACUUUGAAAAAAUUAGAGUGUUUCAAGCAGGCUGUAUGCUGUGAAUACAUUAGCAUGGAAUAAUGAUUUAGGACUUCGGUUCUAUUUUGUUGGUUUCUAGGACUGAAGUAAUGAUUGAUAGGGACAGUUGGGGGUGCUAGUAUUCAGCGGCCAGAGGUGAAAUUCUUGGAUUCGCUGAAGACUCACGGAUGCGAAAGCCUU